rnacentral:rRNA from 1 species
UGGGGAAUAUUGCACAAUGGGCGCAAGCCUGAUGCAGCAACGCCGCGUGAACGAUGAAGGUCUUCGGAUCGUAAAGUUCUGUUGCAGGGGAAGAUAAUGACGGUACCCUGUGAGGAAGCCCCGGCUAACUACGUGCCAGCAGCCGCGGUAAUACGUAGGGGGCUAGCGUUAUCCGGAUUUAUUGGGUUUAAAGGGAGCGUAGGCCGCGUUUUAAGCGUGUUGUGAAAUGUAGACGCCCAACGUCUGCAUCGCAGCGCGAACUGGGACGCUUGAGUACGCGCAACGUUGGCGGAAUUCGUCGUGUAGCGGUGAAAUGCUUAGAUAUGACGAGGAACUCCGAUUGCGAAGGCAGCUGACGGGAGCGGCACUGACGCUUAAGCUCGAAGGUGCGGGUAUCAAACAGG